rnacentral:rRNA from 1 species
UUUCCUGCGCAACGUUCAUCGGCGCAGGGUGAGUCGGCCCCUAAGGCGAGGCAGAAAUGCGUAGUCGAUGGGAAACAGGUCAAUAUUCCUGUACCGCUCUAUGAUGCGAUGGGGGGACGGAGAAGGUUAGGUCAGCCAUCUGUUGGAAUAGGUGGUUUAAGCGUGUAGGCGUGCCCCUUAGGCAAAUCCGGGGGGCUGAGCUGAGGCGUGACGACGAGCUCUCUUUGAGAGCGAAGUGAUUGAUACCCUGCUUCCAGGAAAAGCCUCUAAGCUUCAGUCAUAGAGUGACCGUACCGCAAACCGACACAGGUGGGCAGGUAGAAGAUACUAAGGCGCUUGAGAGAACUCAGGAGAAGGAACUCGGCAAAUUGAUACCGUAACUUCGGGAGAAGGUAUGCCUCUGUAGCUUGUAGGAGCACAUCCGAAGGGCGACGAGGCCGCAGAGAAUCGGUGGCUGCGACUGUUUAUUAAAAACACAGCACUCUGCAAACACGAAAGUGGACGUAUAGGGUGUGACGCCUGCCCGGUGCCGGAAGGUUAAGUGAUGGGGUGCAAGCUCUUGAUCGAAGCCCCGGUAAACGGCGGCCGUAACUAUAACGGUCCUAAGGUAGCGAAAUUCCUUGUCGGGUAAGUUCCGACCUGCACGAAUGGCGUAACGAUGGCCACACUGUCUCCUCCUGAGACUCAGCGAAGUUGAAAUGUUUGUGAAGAUGCAAUCUCCCCGCGGCUAGACGGAAAGACCCCAUGAACCUUUACUGUAGCUUUGCAUUGGACUUUGACGGGACUUGUGUAGGAUAGGUGGGAGGCUAUGAAGCCAGGACGCUAGUUCUGGUGGAGCCGUCCUUGAAAUACCACCCUGGUGUCGUUGAGGUUCUAACCUAGGUCCAUCAUCUGGAUCGGGGACCGUGCAUGGUAGGCAGUUUGACUGGGGCGGUCUCCUCCCAAAAGGUAACGGAGGAGUACGAAGGUCUUCUAGGUACGGUCGGACAUCGUACUGAUAGUGCAAUGGCAAAAGAAGGCUUGACUGCGAGACUGACAAGUCGAGCAGGUGCGAAAGCAGGUCAUAGUGAUCCGGUGGUUCUGUAUGGAAGGGCCAUCGCUCAACGGAUAAAAGGUACUCUGGGGAUAACAGGCUGAUUCCGCCCAAGAGUUCACAUCGACGGCGGAGUUUGGCACCUCGAUGUCGGCUCAUCACAUCCUGGGGCUGUAGCCGGUCCCAAGGGUAUGGCUGUUCGCCAUUUAAAGUGGUACGUGAGCUGGGUUUAAAACGUCGUGAGACAGUUUGGUCCCUAUCUGCCGUGGGCGCUGGAUAUUUGACGGGGGCUGCUCCUAGUACGAGAGGACCGGAGUGGACGUACCUCUGGUGUACCGGUUGUGACGCCAGUCGCAUCGCCGGGUAGCUAAGUACGGAAGAGAUAAACG